rnacentral:tRNA from 1 species
GCCCUGGUGGCACAAUGGUUAUGUGCUUGGCUGCAAACUAAAAGAUGGGUGGUUAGAACCCACCCAGUGGCU